UUGUGUGAUGUUGAUCAAAUGUCUGACCGGGAAAACCAUAUGGACAAAAUUAACACUGGAAGA
rnacentral:snoRNA from 1 species